GAUAUGAGUAGAGCGGCGGACGGGUGAGUAACGCGUAGGAAUCUACCUAGUAGAAGGGGAUAGCCCGAGGAAACUCGGAUUAAUACCGUAUACCUCCUUAGGGAGAAAGAGGGCCUCUCUUGAUGCUCUCGCUAUUAGAUGAGCCUGCGUAAGAUUAGCUUGUUGGUGAGGUAAUGGCUCACCAAGGCUACGAUCUUUAGCUGGUCUGAGAGGACGAUCAGCCACAUUGGGACUGAGACACGGCCCAGACUCCUACGGGAGGCAGCAGUGGGGAAUAUUGGACAAUGGGCGCAAGCCUGAUCCAGCCAUACCGCGUGUGUGAAGAAGGCCUUCGGGUCGUAAAGCACUUUAAGCAGGGAGAAAAAGUUAUAAGUUAAUACCUUAUAACCGUGAUGUUACCUGCAGAAUAAGCACCGGCUAAUUCCGUGCCAGCAGCCGCGGUAAUACGGAAGGUGCAAGCGUUAAUCGGAAUUACUGGGCGUAAAGCGCGCGUAGGUGGUUUGUUAAGUUGGAUGUGAAAGCCCUGGGCUCAACCUAGGAACUGCAUCCAAGACUAACUCACUAGAGUACGAUAGAGGGAGGUAGAAUUCAUAGUGUAGCGGUGGAAUGCGUAGAUAUUAUGAAGAAUACCGGUGGCGAAGGCGGCCUCCUGGAUCUGUACUGACACUGAGGUGCGAAAGCGUGGGUAGC
rnacentral:rRNA from 1 species